UGGUCACUUGCUAACAGCUGUGUGCCUGCUAUGCCCCUGUUAUGAUUUUAUCAGGGGAAAGUUCAAAUGAGUCAAGACUAACAAAAGAUAUUAGUACUAUGUUAUGGAAAUUGCUCUGGAUUGGGGCUAGAUGAACACUGAUAAACUCAACUUUUCUGUUCAACAUUUCUAUCAUGAAGGAUCUUGGACUCUUAUCAGAGAAGCCCAAUAUGUAAAACAGAAGAAACAGGACUAGUCUGAAGUCAAGAUCAGCGCUUGUGAUGCAGAGGCCCUCACAUGCCAGAGACAUAGCGAGAGAACGCCUGGGACUCCCGGGAGCAGGGGUAAAGAUCAACUGCAGUACUGACCAGCUCUCAACUGAAUGGAAUAGGAUUGCAAAAUGGCGCCAACACUGAAGAAGUGGUCCUGAGAACAAUGGGAAAAAGAGUCAUCCUCUCAGAUGCCUCUGAGCUACUGGUCAAGAGUUGCCUGAAGCCAGCCAGACUUCUCAGCUACGGGACAAAAAAUUUCCUUUAAACUUUAAAACAGUU